GGAAUAUUGGACAAUGGGCGCAAGCCUGAUCCAGCCAUGCCGCGUGUGUGAAGAAGGCUUUCGGGUUGUAAAGCACUUUCAGUGGGGAAGAAGGCCUUGGGCUUAAUACGCUUGAGGCAGGACAUCACCCACAGAAGAAGCACCGGCUAACUCCGUGCACGCAGCCGCGGUAAUACGGAGGGUGCGGGCGUUAAUCGGAAUUACUGGGCGUAAAGCGCGCGUAGGCGGCUAAGUGAGCCGGUUGUGAAAGCCCCGGGCUCAACCUGGGAACGGCAUCCGGAACUGUUUAGCUAGAGUGCAGGAGAGGAAGGUAGAAUUCCCGGUGUAGCGGUGAAAUGCGUAGAGAUCGGGAGGAAUACCAGUGGCGAAGGCGGCCUUCUGGACUGACACUGACGCUGAGGUGCGAAAGCGUGGGUAGCAAA
rnacentral:rRNA from 1 species